CGGAGGAAAAGAAACCAACAGGGAUUACCUCAGUAACGGCGAGUGAAGCGGUAAGAGCUCAAAUUUGAAAGCUGGCUCCUUCGGGGUCCGCAUUGUAAUUUGCAGAGGAUGUUUCGGGAGCAGCCCCCAUCUAAGUGUCCUGGAACGGACCGUCAUAGAGGGUGAGAAUCCCGUAUGGGAUGGGGUGUCUGCGCCCAUGUGAAACUCCUUCGACGAGUCGAGUUGUUUGGGAAUGCAGCUCUAAAUGGGUGGUAAAUUUCAUCUAAAGCUAAAUAUUGGCCNGGAGACCGAUAGCGCACAAGUAGAGUGAUCGAAAGAUGAAAAGCACUUUGAAAAGAGAGUUAAAAAGCACGUGAAAUUGUUGAAAGGGAAGCGCUUGCGAUCAGACUCGCCUUGGGGGUUCAGCCGGCAUUCGUGCCGGUGUACUUCCCCCAGGGCGGGCCAGCGUCGGUUUGGGUGGCCGGUCAAAGGCCCUUGGAAUGUAACGCCUCUCGGGGCGUCUUAUAGCCAAGGGUGCCAUGCGGCCUACCUGGACCGAGGAACGCGCUUCGGCUCGGACGCUGGCAUAAUGGUCGUAAGCGACCCGUCUUGAAA
rnacentral:rRNA from 1 species